GCAAACUUGGUCAUUUAGAGGAAGUAAAAGUCGUAACAAGGUUUCCGUAGGUGAACCUGCGGAAGGAUCAUCAAUGAAAAAAUUUUGGCCUAUCUACUCUUUAUUAAACUUUUAGAGGUUUGAUAAAAAAAAAUGUGUUAAUAAUUCAGUUUUAAACCAAUUAAAAAAAUUUAAUUUUUUUUACAACUAUCAACGACGGAUCUCUUGGCUCUCGCAUCGAUGAAGAACGCAGC
rnacentral:misc_RNA from 1 species